GACGAACGCUGGCGGCGUGCUUAACACAUGCAAGUCGAACGGAAAGGCCCUGCUUUUGUGGGGUGCUCGAGUGGCGAAAGGGUGAGUAACACGUGAGUAACCUGCCCUUGACUUUGGGAUAACUUCAGGAAACUGGGGCUAAUACCGGGUAGGAGCUCCUGCUGCAUGGUGGGGGGUGGAAAGUUUCGGCGGUUGGGGAUGGACUCGCGGCUUAUCAGCUUGUUGGUGGGGUAGUGGCUUACCAAGGCUUUGACGGGUAGCCGGCCUGAGAGGGUGACCGGCCACAUUGGGACUAAGAUACGGCCCAGACUCCUACGGGAGGCAGCAGUGGGGAAUAUUGCACAAUGGGCGGAAGCCUGAUGCAGCAACGCCGCGUGCGGGAUGACGGCCUUCGGGUUGUAAACCGCUUUCGCCUGUGACGAAGCGUGAGUGACGGUAAUGGGUAAAGAAGCACCGGCUAACUACGUG
rnacentral:rRNA from 1 species